rnacentral:snRNA from 1 species
UAAAAGACCAGAGUUUUACUAGA